UAUUUAUUAGAUAACAGACCAAUAUUCCUCGUGUCUAUUGUGGUGACUCAUAGUAACUGAUCGGAUCGCAUGGCCUUGUGCCGCGACUAACCAUUCAAGUUUCUGACCCAUCAGCUUUCGAUGGUAGUGUAUUGGACUACCAUGGCUUUCACGGGUAACGGAGGAUUAGGGUUCGAUUCCGAAGAGGGAGCCUGAGAAACGGCUACCACAUCUAAGGAAGGCAGCAGGCGCGUAAAUUACCCAAUCCUGACUCAGGGAGGUAGUGACAAGAAAUAACGGACCGAGGCCCUCGGGCUUCGGGAUUGCAAUGAGCCGAAUUUACACCCCUUAGCGAGGAUCGAUUGGAGGGCAAGUCUGGUGCCAGCAGCCGCGGUAAUUCCAGCUCCAAUAGCGUAUAUUAAAGUUGUUGCAGUUAAAAAGCUCGUAGUUGGAUUUCUGGGAGGGUGCCAAUGUCCGCCGACGUGCGUGUGCAGCGGCGCCCUUCCAUCCUUCUGUUAACGCCUCUUGGCAUUCAUUUGCUGGUGGCGGGCUCAGAUAUUUUACCUUGAGAAAAUUAGAGUGUUUCAGGCAGGCUAG
rnacentral:rRNA from 1 species